rnacentral:piRNA from 1 species
GUGGCUCCUGGAUCCUGUUCAUA